AUGGAGGACCUGCUGAUCGACUUCAAGGCCAGAGGAGCAGGCUCACGAGAAGGAGCUGGGCUGUAGCAAGACAGAGUGCUGAGAACCUGACCCCUGCACAAGUCAAGGCCACUGUGUGGACCUUAUGGAUUAGCCACCGCUGCGACUGCUACUGGCCCUACCACAGUCACAGCUUCUCCAAUGGCGGAGCAUUGCCAGAACAGAGGAGAGUGUACUACUACAUGGAAUUACUUUGUGUGUUGGUGUCCUGUUGCUUUCACCGGGAAGACCUGCGAGACAUGUGUGUGGUGUGUCAAAGACCAAUGGUGGCCAUUGUGUGGACCUGGCUGACGGAUAUGAGUGUGUGACCAACGCUGCCUUCGAGAUCAACCCAGUGCAACUCAGUGCAGAGGGUUCCCUGGGCUUGCCGCUGACCCAAGUGUACCUG
rnacentral:lncRNA from 1 species